GCACCAGACCCAGGUCUUUAGCCACAAGCCC
rnacentral:piRNA from 1 species